GUAGUCUAUAGAAGCAUGAUCCGCGCCGGCCCUUGGGCAUGUCUGUUGGAACGCAGUGUCAAAGAGGGUGAAAAUCCCGUACAUACCAAGGACGACCGUGUGCAUUGUGGUCUGCUCUCUAAGAGUCGAGUUGUUUGGAAUGCAGCUCUAAUUGGGUGGUAAAUUCCAUCUAAAGCUAAAUAUCGACGAGAGACCGAUAGCGAACAAGUACAGUAAUGGAAAGAUGAAAAGUAGCCUGCAGAGGCAAUGAAACAAUACGUGAAACCGUUUGUAGGGAAGCGAUGGAACCUUUUCACGCUGCGAGGGUUCAGCUUGGCUUCGGCUUAGUGUAUUCCCUCGUUUUGCGGACCAGCAUCAGUUUGCUUCGCAGUAUAAGGGUGAUUGGAACGUGGCUUCUCCGGAAGUGUUAUAGCCUUUCACUGGAUGCUGUGUCGCAGACUGAGGACUGCAGUGCGCCGUAAGGCAUGGUCUUCGGGCCACGAGCACUUAGGAUGCUGGGCGAAUGGGUUUCAACGACCCGU
rnacentral:rRNA from 1 species